AUGGCGGUCAAGCUCACACUCCCACCGGCAGAACUGCUCUCCCAGGUGGCCAAGCUGGGCUCCCUCCUCGUCCUUCUCCUUCUCGCGCUGCUGCUGCCCGCCUUCCUCAGGGUCGCCUACGGCUACCUCCUCUUCAACGGCAUCGUCCUCGCGCUGGGCAUCCAGGCCUUCGUCGGCAGCACAGCUUCCAUCGCCGACGAGUCUUCGAGUCCCGGUCAGGCUGUCGCGCCUGUCGGUGUCGCGGCCUCGCCGUUCCAGAGGGCUGGAUCAGUCCGUCCCGACGACCGGACGGUGGUUGCUGAUGAUGAUCGUGUGGUGGUUCCUGCCUUUGUGGCCAGUAAUAUAAUCGAGCUCAAGAUCAAGACCAAGGAGGUGGUGCUGAAGAAGUGCCCGUCGACGGCGAGCAUCUUCUUCCUCAGCGCGUUGAACGGCAGCCAGGCCGGCGGAGAGGAAAAGGGACGGCAAGAGGAGCAGGAUGAUUUUGAGGUCGACUUGGACGGCGACGUGACGAUGAGUCGGCAGGAGCUGUUCGCCAACACGGAGAGGUUCAUCGGCAACUUCCGCAAGGAGCUCAGGAUGCAGAGGCAGUAG
rnacentral:rRNA from 1 species